UAUCUUUGUAGCUUCAAUGAAUAGCUCAUUGAUGUACAUAAAAAUCAUUUAAAUAAUAUUGGAAUG
rfam:Tenacibaculum dicentrarchi strain AY7486TD, complete genome.